GGGUUGAAGGUGGCGUCCUCGUUUCCUCUCGAUACAUGUUGGAAAAUGGAGACUUUAGCCACCAAGACUGACGUGCCUGGAAACUUCCCUUCACGGGGUUUGUGACUGAAAUGCGUGUGGUCGACGGGAAGCCUGACGAGUACGGCCUGAAUCAUUCCAUCAACACCGGACGGAGUGAAACCUUUGUUGAAAACAGAUUAUAUGGUAACGUUGCAUUUAGCUUCAGUAAACUGUGAAGUUACAGCAGCAGAUUUACAUCACGUGGCUUCACAGGAAGUAGUCUGGACCUCAGCGCUGAGGUUCAAGCAGCUCUGCUUGCAGACGGCAUCCUUCCUGAAA